rnacentral:ncRNA from 1 species
UUUUUGGAGAGUUUGAUCCUGGCUCAGGACGAACGCUGGCGGCGUGCUUAACACAUGCAAGUCGAACGAAAAUACCAAGCUUGCUUGGUUGAUUAGUGGCGAACGGGUGAGUAACACGUGAGUAACCUGCCCCUUACUUUCCUGGAUAACUGCUCGAAAAGGGUAGCUAAUACGGGAUAUUCUGGCCUUCCUGCAUGGGUUGGUUGGAAAGGUUGUUUUUCUGGUAAGGGAGUGGGCUCGCGGCCUA